AUAAGUACGAAAUUAUUGACGCAGUCAACUGUCUUGGUCAGCACCCCAGCCCAGGCGUGAAUCAACACUGGCACAUUAUAUCAAAAUUAAGGAUGGUGGCUGAAGCUCAUCUCCUAUGUAAACACCUAAAUGCCAAGUCUGGACUUCAAAAACAGAUUCUGAAAGUUUAACCAGCAUUAUGGACAAAAAGUAUACACUUCGAACAGACACAAAAACAUAUAGGUCCAUGCCAAGCUAUGAAAGAUUUAUGCUGAGGAUGAAAGGGAAUUGCAGAAGAAUGAAUUGAUGUUAACAUCUCAACAUUAA